rnacentral:lncRNA from 1 species
ACCCCGCCGGCGCGCGCAUCCUACGCACGCACGCGGGGCUGCUCCGAGCAGCCCGCCCACUCCACACACACGCGCACACGCACGAUCGGCGCCCCGCCCCACCUCCGCGCGCAGAGCCACGCCCACUGGCCCUAAGGGAGCGCGGGGAAAGGCUGGAGUGCGCAGGCGUGGAUUGUGUGACGUCAUCUGGGACAGGGUGGCUGGCUCCCACGUGAGGCCCUCGCCGGGUAGGAAGGCGGCCCCUCCCCCCCUGCGGGGAGCUCCGCGCGCAGACAAAGGCAGGGAGGAUGUAGAUGAUGCUCCCGGGUGAUGCUGCAGCCCCUGCUCUUGCCCCGCUGGCUCCCUUCCCGCUGCAGCCCGAGAAGCAGGCUCCGCCUCAGCCUCUGACCCUCCUCCCCCUGCGAGCGUGCACAGUGUCGCCUCUCGAAAUGGAGGACAUGCCCAUUUAUGAUCUGACAUCUGGCUGGAGAAGCAACUGUAUCAGAGAUUGGAAGGAUUGUUCAUGUCGGAAAACCAACACUGCCUUAGCUCCUCUGGACCCACCCAAAAGACUUUGUACCAGUGGAAGUGAAGGUGACCCAAACUCCCUGUACCACCACUGGAUGACCUUGGCAUUUCACAUGCAAAUAUCAGAAGGGAAACAACAGGAAGAUACAACAACCUCAGCAAAUUCAUUGAUUCCUGUCCACCCCCUCCCCACUUGGAAAACAAAAAUGAAAAACCAGGUAAUUUGUAAAGCGAAAAAGUGCCAAGUUUAUUGAAUGAAUUCUUCACAAUUUCACUUUCAAGCAAUGGACUACUUGCUGAUGGCAGAGUGGAAAUCAGAGCUAGAGCUUUUCUGUGAUAAUCCUGAAUAUACUAAAGAAGAGAUGACAUUAAGACCUACUACAUUCAGAUAAAAACACUGGCAUCUCAAUAAGCAGGUAGACACAAUGACUCCUGUCAAACGGUGCCAGUGGUAUCAUCUGUCUUCUGUUACAAUCAAGGCAAGAAGACUUGAUGUUCUCCUCAUUUAGACACAUGUAUUCUAUCGUGUUACAGAUGCAUCUGGG